rnacentral:ribozyme from 1 species
UUUUUUUGUUUUUAUAUUAUUAUUAUUAUUUUUAACAGAAGAAUCAACUGGUUACAUAGCCUGUAACGGAGUUGGUUGCUAUUAUUGUAUUUAU